UGCAUAUGAUGAAUACAAUAUUUGCUAUCUGACUUGUGUGAUUACAACUUUUUCCACCAAGAUCUCUGAUGCA